AUACCCGCUGAACUUAAGCAUAUCAAUACGGGGAGGAAG
rnacentral:rRNA from 1 species